GUCUCCUUGGUUGCCAUUACAUCACUUAAAGGCUUGGAGAGCUGCAGGCACUUUCUUCUAAUUCUCUUUAACUGGUGUUCCAUCUGGUUAUAUUAGUUCUCAAGCUCCAUCAUUCCGUCAGACAGAAAGUUGCAUCCCUAUAUAACAUCAUCCAUUAGAUCAUAUUACAGACGUACCUGAAUAGGACAAAAUAUUAUAGAAAAUUGGAUCAUCUUUUUGUUCUUUACCAUGGAUCAAACAAAGGGCAAAUGGCUUCUAAAUGCUCUCUUGCCAGAUGGA